GGCGGGUUGCCGCAGUGGCCGACCGGAGCCGACUGUAAAUCGGCCGCUUCACCGCCGCGCAGGUUCGAAUCCUGCACCCGCCA
rnacentral:tRNA from 1 species